UUUGAAGAGGAAUUUACAAGCAUGAUAUUUGCAGCCAGGUCUGCAGAAAGCAUGAGACAAAUGCAUAAGGUGCACUAAGAAAACAUUUUGUCAUGUAAUUUUUAAACCAUGUAUUUUUUCUGCAAUGGGAAAGGCAUAUGCAAAGCCUGCAAAUCUUCUGCCUCACAGUGGGUAAGUGACAUCAUCCAUAAAACUGGUACCAUGUAAUAAACUGGUACCAUGGUGAGGACUAAAUACUAAUAAGGUAGUAGGCUUUUCAGAUUAAAAUAACUACAGCAUAGCAAAGCAUCCUUAUCUAUUAUUAAUAUAAUGCCAAUUGUAACCAUCUCCUACUCAUCUUCCCUCUGAAUUGCUAUAACCACCCUGCUUCAACUAAGCAAUACUUGUAAGACACUCAGCAGAAAUAUUCAGAAUAUGGAUUCCUCUUUUUCUCCUCUGUCACCCUUUAAAAAGGAUUCACCUCAUUAAAAUGUGCUUUAGAAGUCACGAGCACCACGGCUUUGACUAUCAGGACAGCAAAUGUCUUGGAGCACCGAUUUGACGGUCCCCUUGGAACGUUGGCAAUGUCCGGUAGAUGGCAGCAAACAGCACUCCAGGGAGCUGGAGCACCUCGAGGUGACAGCCUGAGAGCUGCUCCAGCGGCCCCAGUGCUGGCAAUUAUAUGGGGUUUUAUCUUCUACCCUGAAUGAAAUAAGCUCAUUUAUUUGGUUCCUUGCAGGGAGGCAGCGAGAACAAAGCCGCAGGGGACCUUCACAAUGCUGCACUCAACCGAUGAGUGACAUGGUGCCCUGGCCCAACUGGAAAGGGAGUGGGGCAGUGCGGGGACAGGAGCACACGCCCGCAGGUGUGGAGACAGAAGGGCUUUGUUAGCAGGCUCUGCUGCCAAAGGACAAGUCAUGUCACACUGAAGCCAUUUUCCAGGAUAUAGAUCCUGAAAAAUGAGUCAACUGGAGCUGGAAGAGAGCUCACACAGAAGAUGUAAUGUUGGGGGAGUGUGGAGGGAGAAAGUGCUAUUUGUAGUUUGGUGUUGAAGACUCCAAAGAACAGAAGGGACGGUGCUGUGAUUUCUCCCUUUUCCACACAGCAUGAAAUGGAUCAACUGCAUAGAUUCAGUUGCUCUCCAGCAUUAGAAAAGACUUUGCAGACAACCUGCACCUACUUCUUAAUAUAAACAAAGUUAGCGUGCCUCUGGGGAAGCUGUCAAUAGCAGUGACAUGUUUUUAAUUGGAUUUUUUUCAUAUCUUGCUUUUUGACUAUACUACUCCAUUACAUCUGUAUGCAGAAUCUUUCAGAUUCUCACAUCAGGCUUUUAGCUUCAAACUGUAGUGCUUCUCAAAUCUGAAAGGUCUCCCUCCAGCAUGCCAGCACUUACCAUGACACCCCAAUGCCUGUUAUCAAAUGCAUGUUAGGAUACACCAUCUUAGAGCAUACAAACAUUCUGCAUGUCAUCCAGUGAGCAAGAAUGUAUUAUUACACAAUUAGUUCAUUAAAAUUAUAUUUAAAUGAUGCAUAUAUAUGUGUGCAUGUUUUUAUUAUUGAAAAUUAUAUUUUAUGUAGGCCAAGUCAAAUGAUAGCUGAUAUAAAGAAAAUAAGGUAAUCUCAA